rnacentral:ncRNA from 1 species
AGAUGAGAGAAACACCCCGCCCGCAGGGGACUGCGGGUGAUGCCCGGUCGGUGCUUUCCCGGCUUCGACCUGGCCGUGCCCUCGCGCACACCACCGGGACCCGUGGCACGAGGGGCUCCGGGAAACCUCACCGAUCGGA